rnacentral:rRNA from 1 species
AUGAUUAAAGAAACAGUUCAACAACCAAGUGUACCUGAAAGAGAAGAAAAUAACAGUGAGUCUAAACAUGACAGUGAUUCAAGCAGUGAAGAUAGUGAUUAUGUGGCAGGUAGUGAUGACAGUGGACUAGAGGAAGAGUAUGUGGAACUUAAGGAAGAAGCAAAGGCAUUUAAGAAGAGAAUUAGAGAUUCUAAGAAGUGGGCACAGAAAAAUCCAAUAGGUGUUGUUCCAAUUGAUUUAGUUGCAAAUGUUGAAGAGGUGAUAGGAGAAGAUCACUUCGAUUCAGAUGAUGAAGAUUAUUCAUAUGAUGAAGAUAGUGAUCAUGAUGGUCAUGUUGUGAGUAGGAAGAGCAAGUACCCCAGGUAUAACCCAAAGGCAGAUAUUCCAAUGUUUUGUUUAGGGAUGGUUUUCAGGAGCAAGGAGCAGAUGAGAAAGGCACUAAUAAAAUAUGGGAUGCUCACAUUUAGAAGUAUAAUAUUCAUGAAAUCAGAGGAAGAUAGGAUGAGGGCUAAGUGUGGAUGGCCUGGAUGCCCAUGGCUUAUAUAUGGUGCUAAGACUACUAGGUGUUCUAGGUUCCAGGUGUUAAAAUUUGAAUCUGAACAUGAGUGUGCACCUAACAGAGACAAUCAUCUUGUUACCUCUAAGGUUAUAGCAAGAAGGUAUGAGCACAUCUUAAGACCCAACCCCACAUGGAAGAUUGACAGCAUUAAAGCCACUAUUCUAAAAGAUUUCUUUGCUGAUGUGUCAACAUCCAAGUGCAAGGCUGCCAAGAAGAUUGUAUCAGCAAAACUACUAGCAGGUAUGAAAGAGGAGUACACCAAGGUAUUCGAUUACCAGCUAGAACUACUAAGGAGCAAUCCUGGAAGUACAAUAUCUGUUGGCUUGGACCCUACUAAUAUGGAGCAAAAUAUUUUCUAG